ACAAAAAUGAUGUCAUGUGUUCCUCGACACAAUUUGCGCCAUCGUGUGGAGAUAUACAGAAUAAUUUAAUAUCACCCUCAGAGACGAAAUUCUUCUGGAUUGAUUGAUCUUGUCUGGCUGCCCCACUACUGUUCGUCUGUCGAUUACUUCUGGCUUUGUGGAGGGAAGUCUCUUGAUUGAACAUGUCGGCUACAAACCCGUCGCAGCUGCUCCCGCUUGAGCUUGUGGACAAAUGUAUCGGCUCCCGAAUUCACAUCGUUAUGAAAACUGACAAAGAAAUUGUCGGCACCUUGCUGGGCUUCGAUGACUUCGUCAGUAUCUUUUAAUUAAAACGUGUCCAGAUGAGCGAGUUAGUGCACACCUAAACACCAACAAUGUACAAAGUCUUACUGAUCUUACUGUAUUGCGCUGUACACACCAUCGACUGUUUGAAGUCAUCCAUGCUGUGAGGUGGAGCCGAUGCAGUACGAGAACUAUUGUGUUACUUUUUGUUUCUGUUUUAUUUAGAAAUGUGAGCGAGGACAGUUGCAGAAUACCAUUGGCAUGAAAAGUGUGUAGAUCUGUACAAACAAGGGACAAAUAGACUGAUCAAAAAAUUUAAGGAAACAGUCAGUCAUCACACUACAACACAGUUCAACUUCAGGCAUGUCAAUCUAUCCAGAUAGGAGUAAUAAACCAUGGUAAAUCUAUUUCAGCCAAAUUGGUGCAAAUUAAAGUAACAACAGGUGUAGCAGAUGGUGGCCACAGACCAUUUCCCUCUGCUGUCAGAUCUCAUUCUGGUGCAGUGGGGCCUGGGUUCCUCCUGCUGUAGGGCUUCUUUCAUUUUUACUCUU